rnacentral:rRNA from 1 species
GCACAACGCGAAGAACCUUACCAAGGCUUGACAUCCCCUUGACCGGCACAGAGAUGUGCCCUCUCCUUCGGGAGCAAGGGUGACAGGUGGUGCAUGGUUGUCGUCAGCUCGUGUCGUGAGAUGUUGGGUUAAGUCCCGCAACGAGCGCAACCCUUAUCCUUAGUUGCCAGCAGGUGAAGCUGGGCACUCUAAGGAGACUGCCGAUGAUAAAUCGGAGGAAGGUGGGGAUGACGUCAAAUCAUCAUGCCCCUUAUGUCUUGGGCUACACACGUGCUACAAUGGUCGGUACAAAGGGGAGCGAAGGAGUGAUCUGGAGCAAAUCCCAAUAAACCGAUCUCAGUUCGGAUUGUAGGCUGCAACUCGCCUACAUGAAGUCGGAGUUGCUAGUAAUCGCGAAUCAGAACGUCGCGGUGAAUGCGUUCCCGGGUCUUGUACACACCG